UUGAACGGCAAACCUACAGGUGAAACAGUCUAUGGAAGCAACACGUCUCUGGAGCGUCGUCGUGAAAGAUAGUCACAUGUGGAUGCCGGUAAAGAUGAAAGACCCUCAACAUCACAUACACAUCAGGAGGUUCCUGCAGGCCAUGCACAUGGGGAUAAUGGUGUGGCAGCCCCAUUU